UAGAGUUUGAUCAUGGCUCAGGAUAAACGCUGGCGGCACACAUAAGACAUGCAAGUCGAACGGACUAAAUCUUUUGAUUUAUCUAAAGAAGAGGUUAGUGGCGGACUGGUGAGUAACAUGUAAGAAAUCUGGCUAUUAGAGGGGAAUAACAGUGAGAAAUCAUUGCUAAUACCGCAUAUGCUCACAGUAUCGCAUGAUACAGUGAGGAAAGGAGCAAUCCGCUAAUAGAUGAUCUUGCAGCUGAUUAGCUAGUUGGUGAGGUAGAGGCUUACCAAGGCGACGAUCAGUAGCCGAACUGAGAGGUUGAACGGCCACAUUGGGACUGAGAUACGGCCCAGACUCCUACGGGAGGCAGCAGUCGGGAAUAUUGCGCAAUGGAGGGAACUCUGACGCAGUGAUGCCGCGUAUAGGAAGAAGGUUUUCGGAUUGUAAACUAUUGUAGACAGGGAAGAAAAAAGACAGUACCUGUAAAGUAAGCUCCGGCUAACUACGUGCCAGCAGCCGCGGUAAUACGUAGGGAGCAAGCGUUAUCCGGAAUUAUUGGGUGUAAAGGGUGCGUAGACGGGAAAGCAAGUUAGUUGUGAAAGCCCUCGGCUUAACUGAGGAACAGCAACUAAAACUACAUUUCUUGAGUAUUGGAGAGGAAAGUGGAAUUCCUAGUGUAGCGGUGAAAUG
rnacentral:rRNA from 1 species